rnacentral:rRNA from 1 species
UACGUAGGGUGCGAGCGUUAAUCGGAAUUACUGGGCGUAAAGCGUGCGCAGGCGGUUUUGUAAGUCAGAUGUGAAAUCCCCGGGCUAAACCUGGGAAUGGCAUUUGGGACUGCAAGGCUGGAGUGUGGCAGAGGAGACUGGAAUUCCUGGUGUAGCAGUGAAAUGCGUAGAUAUCAGGAGGAAUACCGAUGGCGAAGGCAGGUCUCUGGGCUGACACUGACGCUCAUGCACGAAAGCGUGGGGAGCAAACAGG